UGCUGAAGUGCCUGAUGGACGUGGCUCUCGU
rnacentral:piRNA from 1 species